ACCACCACCACCUCUCGGCCUUCCUGUGUGCUCACUGCCUUCCUGAUUCUGUCCGCUGAGUGGAGGGACAAGAGGUAAAAAUACACAGCCAAACCCUUGUGGAGCCCACAGUCUUCUCAGGAUCUCAGACAUGUGAAAUGAUUACUGCACAGAGGGCAAACACCUCAUGACCUGCUCUCUGUGCCUGGCGUGCUAUUGGGCGUUUGGGACUCGACCAUGAAUACAGGAGAAUUCCUGCUCGUAGAGUCUAGAGGGCUGCUUGGAGAUGCGGGUUUACUGAGAUGCUGAUGAGACCCCAGCAGGAGGGCCCUUUCCAAGGCCCUGAGAGGGCGGCUAGCUCUGCGUUCACCGAGUCAUAUAUUUUUACCAGAUUUGCGAAGGCCCAAAAGUUUGCAUAAGUUUCAGGACCUAAAAUGUAAGGUAUGACUCUUGGUCUUUAAAUUGCCAAAAAAUAUAUGUUCAAACAGUGUUUUCAAUUGCUUUGUACUGUGGGCAUAAUCUAUUAUGCCUUAGUCUGAGUUGUUGUCGUUGGGACGUUCAGGC
rnacentral:lncRNA from 1 species